rnacentral:rRNA from 1 species
CGAACGGGUGGGUAACGCGUGAGGAACCUGCCUCAAAGAGGGGGACAACAGUUGGAAACGACUGCUAAUACCGCAUAAGCCCACGGCUCGGCAUCGAGCAGAGGGAAAAGGAGCGAUCCGCUUUGAGAUGGCCUCGCGUCCGAUUAGCUAGUUGGUGAGGUAACGGCCCACCAAGGCGACGAUCGGUAGCCGGACUGAGAGGUUGAACGGCCACAUUGGGACUGAGACACGGCCCAG